AAAAAAACUUGUAAAUUAGCGUAACAACAUCAGCUAAGAUGAUUUCCAGCAAUGACGGUUGGCAAGUUGAAUAUGUUCAAGUCCCUAGAGUAACAUAAGGGUAUCGAUAUCCACGGGAGCCAAUGUAUACCUUAUAUUAUACACAGCAAGGAAUAAAGCCUUGAUAUGAAAAAAAUAUUAUUAAAACAUAUGCUAACAAGUAGAUCCGUUUUCCUCCGUGUAUGUGUUAUAAGCUAGAAAUCCUCUACAUAGAGAUAAGCGGAAGUUACAUAUGUCGAUUCGGCAACGCUGUUCAUUUUGUUUACAUCAGCUGCCAACACUUGCUGCAAAGCUAGAUGUUCAAACUUUGUGCGUGACUUCGUAGUGGUUCAAGUUGUUUUGUUUACAUUUUCUAAUUAUGGUAGAUUUUUUUUUUCAAAAUUUUGAAAAAAAUAGCGGAGCAAUCGAUGAAAUCUGAAAUUUAUUGCAAAGUGUUAAGCUAAACAUAUCGGCAGAAAUGAAGCAAGAAGCAGCAAUGAAAGUUUUUUCGAGAAGUGCAGCAACAAAAGUUUCGUCAUAAGCUUGAGCUUUUGAAAGCAGAAUUAAUUAAAUUCUAUCUUUUUACUAAACUUACAUAUACCGUCAAUUUCUCGAUAUUAAAAAUAAAUAAUUUUAAUUUAUUUAGUUCGGAUUGCAAUACCGUUCAAUCGACGCCUUCUUACGAACGAUCAGCCUGUUCAUUUGGCUCACACUUUGACAGUUCUUUCUGCACGAUUGGCUUACAAUGGCCGCCUCCGCAGAUCUCUAUAAUGUAGGAUUACUAUUGUCUAUCCAGUUGGAAUCAAGACCGACUUCAAUCAAACAUUGCAAUUUUCUUGGUCCACAAGUGUCGCAACUGUUUCGCAUCUAGUGCGCUGUGUUGCUGACAACAACGGGAAGGAUGCGCACUACAUUUGACAUGAUUAAAAAACGUCGCGAGUUGGGUCGCGUCGCGACUUGAUUGUGCGAAGUCCGGUUUGGUGGCGGCCCGACAAUAUUAUAAGCUACACGGUUGUUUGCGAAAACCCAUCGAUGGGUAAAAAAACACCCAUUUACGAGUACCUUGCAGAUCUGUCAAAACAUGGGUAAAAUCAAUAAUACAAAAAGAGUAAAAAAAUACCCAUGUUUGAAAACCGAUCUUCACCCCAAUAAUGGGUGAAAAAUAGUUGUAAAAGUUUGCGUUGCUACCUCGUUUGCCGUCUUCAGUCACAACGAUUAGGAAGUUAGUUUUUCCCACGUUACUGCUAUUAUCUACUUUAAUCUUUUUCACGAAUUAUGUUCCGGUUCAUAUAAAUAGUUACGUCAUGAAGAACCAGAUGCUUUGAAGAUAUCUUCAAGGCGGAUUUCAAUGCUUCCGGAACGAAGUCCGCUGCAUCUGUUUUAAGCGGAUGCAUCAGACGCACAGCACGACCCAGACCAGACCAGGUUCCUAAAGCCUUGGGCCUUGCCGCAACCCUAUUAAAUGGAUCCAGUUCUGUGCAGCUACCGAAUCGAAUCUGAAGGGACGCCAAUGCACUUGACCGGGUGAAUCCGGAGCAAAGGAGCCUAAACAUAAACAAGCGAAUAUGUUUUUAAGAUUUUUUUGUUAAAUUAUAUGUAUAUUAUGUUAUUCAAAUAAAACUCAUUCAAAUCUGGCGUAAUUUUGGUUAUGAAUCAUCAUCAAACCAUUACGGAAACUCUGGACAAUUUAUCCCGGAAAAAAUCGCAAAAAUGAGUGAAUUUUUACCCAUUUUUUCCUGUAAAUUCGCUUUUCAAAAUGGGUAAAAAUUUACCCAUCCUUUGGCAUAAAACGUCUUUACCCAUUAAUGGGUAAACCGCCUUUACCCAUUAAAUGGGGAGAGGCACUUCUAGCGAAAAUGGGUGUUUUUUCACCCCAUUAAUGGGUGACGUUUUACAAACGACCGUGUAGGGACGAGACAAAUGGCUAAAAAAUAAAAAUUAUAUAUUUUCAACUACGGUCAAUAAAAACGUUAAAAAUUGAGUAAAUAUGUACUCUUGAACCAUAUAUUGUGGUUUAAAACAAGAAUCCCGAUAGGACUUUAGGAGCCUAUUCACGCAGCGUCAAUUAACGCUCGUGUGCAUCGGCUCUUAAGUGUCGAGCUGUCAAAUUUUAGUAAAAAAUUAUUUUUAAUUCGUCAAUUGGAACAGACCCUAAAAUUCAUAAUAGUUCUUAGCCGUGUUUUCGAACAGACCACAAUUUACGAGCACAUUUGAUAUCAUAUCACAGAGAACAGACAUCCAAGUCCAGUUCCCAAACUGUGUAAGGACUUUAACGGCCAUUUGAAAUCGGCAACACAAGUGGCAACACAGCGGCGCUGCAAUCGGUUAAUUUCCCAUACUAAUUUAAUUCACCACUUGAAAUGUUUCAAUUCACCACUGACUGUGGCAAUAUGGUGUUUGGCGGCGUUAGUGUGUUCAUCGUGCAUUGGUUUGCAACCUUACUCAAGUGAAGAUUCAAAGCCUUACACGACUUUCUGAAUGAAAUUGGUUCUAGCCUGGAUGUCUGUUCUCUGUGAUCAUAUCAAUGAUGCGUGCUAUAUAACAUAUAUAUAUGCAGAUUUAAUUGUUUGACUAAAAUAUGUGGGUUAAACUUUGAAUAAAAUGCAAAAUCUUGCCAUUCUGCGAAAAUCUAAAAAGCCUACAAAAAUUGCGAGAAUAUGGAAAGAAUCUAGUGCCGAGUAUAUCGAAUAGAAUAGCACACACUUAAAAUAAAUCGCCGACCUCAGCAAACGGAUUGCCGAGAAUCCAACAGCCGAGAAUCCGGUAAUAUUUUUUACUGAAUCUCGGUAAAAGUUUUACCGAGAUGUCCUCAAAACUUUGCCGAGAUCUUGGUAAUCCAACUUUUUACUGAGAUCACGGCAAAGUUCACCGAGACUCGGCAAUGGUUUGCCGAAAUCUCGGUAAAUUUUUUACCGAGAAUCAGUAAAUAUUUUACCGAGCUGUUGGAUUCUCGGUAAACCGUUUACCGAGAUCAAUUUCUGAAUUUAAAUGUGCACAUUAUUGUUUGAGACUAACGAAGAUAAAAUCACAAUAAAACAGGAAAGAAUUAUCUUUUAUACUGGCUGACUAAAAGUUUCUAGAGGUGUUCUGAAAAUGUUUCAGUUUCAGUUACAUAUUUCAAGAUGAUAACGUAAGGAACGAAGACAAGACUAUCAAUUUCCUAAAAGUCCUUCAAGUGCAUGUAUUGCUUCAGUUCUUAGUUUUUGAAAUUAUUUUGGUAGAAUUUCGAAACAUACUCUGCUACACGAAAAGAAAAGUAAUUAUUUUAAUUAUUAGAUAAAUGUCAUGGAUUUUAUUCCAUACUUUGUAAUACAUUUCAUUUCGCCACUUUAUUCACUUCAAAACAAAACUUCAUGAACUGUGUAACACGUUCUGAUGAAGAGCAUAAGUUGUAUUAGGCAAAACUUAUACUUUUAAUGAUGUUUUGGAUUGAAAAAUUCUAACAUGGUAAACGACUCAAGGAGGCGAUUCGCACAAGGCGCCAGAGAUGGCAUAGAUACACUGAUAAACAGCUCUGCGUACACAUCUUCAAAAGAAUGUGCGCCGCUCUGUUUUGCUACGAAUGUGGACCGGCAACAAACACACAUCGCUCAGCCGUAAAACUUUGCGUGAGAGUGCGUAUGUGUAAGUUGCCGCACCAGCUGCGCGAGACGUCGCAGAGCUAACACUUCUUCUGCGUGAGCUUCGCUCAUUUCUAGUAGUGUGCUACACAUCUGAGCUGUCUGAGCUGCGAGUUGUAGGCUCUCGGCAGUACAGAGUAGCGCAGCGCUGCGAUGUGAGCUGUGUGUUGGACUGUACUUUCUCCUGCUUGCCUGCGCUCACCGUCGUGCGCGAUGCGACAACGAUGCCGAGCGCGUGCAGUCGGACCGCGCAGAAGAUAAUUCUUUUCACCCACUCUUUCUCAUCAUGAAGGCUGUGUGUAAUGCGUAUUUUUUAUCUUCUCACUUAGCGCUCUGAGGAGCAUGCCAUCUCUGAGGCGCCGAAGAAUUUAGGAAGCAAAGUUCGUUUCAACUAGUUCUUGAAAGCUUAGCGGUAAUUUCAGGUAAAUGUGUUUUUCGUCGAAUUUUGCUCGAGUUUUGCAUUCAUGGGUGCGACAAAUCUGACUACAGCAUAUUCUCGGUGGUCGACUGCGCAUAAUGGUGGCGGUUCAUCGAUGUUCCGUGGAGACGCACGAGUACAAGCGCACCAUCGAGAAAGUGGUCAUCAGUCCCACAUCGCAGAUUCACACCAAGUCCCCACGCAACAGAUUUCGUGACACCGCCCAAAGUCCAACGUUUCUUCAGCAAGCUGCAAGAAGAGGAGGAGGAGGAGGAGGGUGAGCCGGAAGUGUCAAUUCUGAGCAGGAUAUAUUGUCGAGGUCGAUCCGGAGACAAAAGAGAACAGCUGGACUCCAACAACUUCGUCAUCCUGGUAGUCAUCCCGUCGGUGCUGAGCUACCCUCGCUGCAACUAAGCCUGGCAGUUGAACGAUGAACGGUCCUGGGAGCGCUCUGG